GACGAACGCUGGCGGCGUGCCUAAUACAUGCAAGUCGAGCGAAGCGGCGGUUGGUUGAGUAACGCGUGGGUAACCUGCCUUUAAGCCUGGGAUACCAUUUGGAAACAGAUGCCAAUACCGGAUACUAAAGGAUGGACUUGCGAUGCAUUAGCUAGUUGGUAAGGUAACGGCUUACCAAGGCGAUGAUGCAUAGCCGGGUUGAGAGGCUGAUCAGCCACAUUGGGACUGAGACACGGCCCAGACUCCUACGGGAGGCAGCAGUAGGGAAUCUUCCACAAUGGGCGAAAGUCUGAUGGAGCAACGCCGCGUGAGUGAAGAAGGUUUUCGGGUCGUAAAGCUCUGUUGUUGGUGAGGCGGUAAUCAACCAGGAAGUCACGGCUAACUACGUGCCAGCAGCCGCGGUAAUUC
rnacentral:rRNA from 1 species